rfam:Myotis davidii contig322974, whole genome shotgun sequence.
AUGCUCCCUUCAGUAGCACAUAUACUAAAAUUGGAAAAAUACAGAGAAGAUUAGCACGGCCCCUGCGCAAGGAUGGCACACAAAUUCAUGAAGUGUUCCAUAUUUAA